rnacentral:rRNA from 1 species
AUUGAACGCUGGCGGCAUGCCUUACACAUGCAAGUCGAACGGCAGCACGGGAGCAAUCCUGGUGGCGAGUGGCGAACGGGUGAGUAAAGUAUCGGAACGUGCCCAGUCGUGGGGGAUAACGUAGCGAAAGUUACGCUAAUACCGCAUACGAUCUAUGGAUGAAAGCGGGGGAUCGCAAGACCUCGCGCGAUUGGAGCGGCCGAUAUCAGAUUAGGUAGUUGGUGGGGUAAAGGCUCACCAAGCCGACGAUCUGUAGCUGGUCUGAGAGGACGACCAGCCACACUGGGACUGAGGCACGGCCCAGACUCCUACGGGAGUCAGCAGUGGGGAAUUUUGGACAAUGGGCGAAAGCCUGAUCCAGCCAUGCCGCGUGCAGGAUGAAGGCCUUCGGGUUGUAAACUGCUUUUGUACGGAACGAAAAGGUUUGGCCUAAUAAGCUGAGCUCAUGACGGUACCGUAAGAAUAAGCACCGGCUAACUACGUGCCAGCAGCCGCCGUAA